GGAAGAGAAGGAGAAGAAGGAGAAGAAGAAGAAGAGAAGGAGAGCAAGAGAGAAGGAAGAAGGGAGGAGCAAGGGUUUCCUACCAACUAAGGUGAUUUAUUUUCUUAAAAAUCUUAUGUAUCCCAAGAGGAGAACCAAAGGUGACGAGACAACACGGCGCGAGGCCAUCGGCUGUCCAUCAUCACCUAGGACUCUAGAUAUUGAUUCAGGUAACCAUUUGAAGUCUGUUGUUGAAGAGUCGACUCUCUACGGAGGUGACCUCUGGGAUGAGGAGCUUGCUACGCACGAGGACGGCUGCGUAUGUGACGAUUGUACAUUUGGUGCAUGCUGAGGAUGAGAGUAUCAUCCUCCAUUUUGAUCCUUUUUGUACUUAUUAGAUGUCGCCCUGGGGGCAUAAUUGUAAUUUUUA